CACACAUAGUACUUAGACGCAGUGAGUGAAGAGACACUUGGUCCCGGGCCCCCUUCUCUGCACACACUGCCCUGUGUGCUACAGCAUGCCAGGCAGGGUGCCAGGACAGCAGGCCCGUGAAGACCAUGGCGGCGGCUGUCUGAAGACCAGCUCACAGCAGGAGCUGCGCUGAGAUCUUCUCCUGGGUGCUCAUGCUGGGGCCCGAGGUCGUAUGGAAAAGGCUUGUCCCCCUUGCUGGAUGUCACAAGGCUCAGCCACGUGGAUAGAAGCUGCUUGGAUGACCACAUUAAGUGAAUGGCCGCAUCUGUGCACUGGCUCUGCAGCCCUGGGCAGCGACACAGAGACAGCAAGCAGAGCAUCCAUCACCAGGAUUCUCAGGCAGGUGUUACACCAGAGCUCAUGCGUGUCUGGCCCCAGGCUCUGAGCUGUGGCGCAUUCUUCUUGCACAUGCCCUGUAGGCCGGGUGAAAUGUUGUCACUGAAGGUGAGCUAGGAAGUCACAGGGCAGGUUUCACAAGAGACACAUCACAAAGACCCUGCUCAUAAAACAGGAUGUGGGAGAGAAGCCAGCCAAAACCAAGAUGGUGGCAAAAGAAACCUCUGUUCAUUAUACACUAAUCAUAAUGCAUUUGCAUAUGCUCAAUGACGUGCCUGGCAGCACCAAGACAGUUUACAGACGCCAUGGCAACGUCUGGAAGUUACCCUAUGGGGUCUGAAGUGGGGAGGAAUUCUCAGUUCUUGGGGAAUUCCCUGCCUUUUUCCCAGAAAACUCAUGAAUAAUCCACCUGUUGUUCGGCAUAUAAUCAAGAAAUAACCAUAAAAAUAGCCACCCUUUUAUUCCUGUGCGGUAACCACCCAUUUAUUUCUUUACUUUCUUGAUUAACCUGAUUUCACUCUGUCC
rnacentral:lncRNA from 1 species